CCUCUCUGCCUCCUCUUUUUGCUGCUGCUAACACCAGUGGUGCUGCCAAGCCCUGAAUUAUUAUCUUUAAUGCUUUUUUUUUCGACUCAAAACUGCCCUGUAACAUUCACGAUAAGGCAGUUUUGUAUUUUCCAAACUUUAGUGAAUGCAACACAAGCACAGCGGUCUGACCAAUCAGAGAGGAGUUGAACUGAAAGGGUGUUUAGUCCGACUUCAGAACUUUUCCGACGGUCUGAACUUCCAACAAAAGAUGGACACCCGACGGGUUUUUGAGAAAAAAGAAGCGGGACAGCUCUUCUAUUGUGGUGGCUGCGGCGAGAAGGAAGACUUUCCGAACACAUGAAACAGAGCUCUGAAAUCCCAUUCGAUGCUACACGACACUGGAAGAAAAGAUGAGGCGGCUGCAUAAAUUUGCCCAAACUUGAAAACAGGUAAAGCCUCAUUUUGUGAUGGUAAAAAAAAAAAAAA